AGUGAACGCUGGCGGUAGGCCUAACACAUGCAAGUCGAACGGCAGCACAGUAAGAGCUUGCUCUUACGGGUGGCGAGUGGCGGACGGGUGAGGAAUACAUCGGAAUCUACUUUUUCGUGGGGGAUAACGUAGGGAAACUUACGCUAAUACCGCAUACGACCUACGGGUGAAAGCAGGGGAUCUUCGGACCUUGAGCGAUUGAAUGAGCCGAUGUCGGAUUAGCUAGUUGGCGGGGUAAAGGCCCACCAAGGCGACGAUCCGUAGCUGGUCUGAGAGGAUGAUCAGCCACACUGGAACUGAGACACGGUCCAGACUCCUACGGGAGGCAGCAGUGUGGAAUAUUGGACAAUGGGCGCAAGCCUGAUCCAGCCAUACCGCGUGUGUGAAGAAGGCCUUCGGGUUGUAAAGCCCUUUUGUUGGGAAAGAAAAGCAGCAGGUUAAUACCCCGCUGUUCUGACGGUACCCAAAGAAUAAGCACCGGCUAACUUCGUG
rnacentral:rRNA from 1 species